AUGGCGGCCGGAGCAGCUGGAGGAGGGAGUGACGAGCUCAAGCUGCUGGGGGUCUGGGUGAGCCCGUUCGUGCACCGGGUGCAGGUCGCGCUGCACCUCAAGGGGCUCACCGGCUACGAGUACGCCGAGGAGGACCUCACCAACAAGAGCGACCUCCUCCUCGCCUCCAACCCCGUCCACACCAAGGUCCCCGUGCUCCUCCACGCCGGCAAGCCCGUCUGCGAGUCCAUGCUCAUCGUGCAGUACCUCGACGAGGCCUUCCCCGGCUCCGGCCCCGCCCUCCUCCCCGCCGACCCCCACGACCGCGCCGUCGCUCGCUUCUGGGCCGCCUACGCCGACGACCAGUUCUUUGCCUCGUGGAUCAAGGCGUUCGUGGGGACGACGGACGAGGAGAGGGCGGCGGCGACGGAAGCCGCGGUGGCAGCGCUGCAGAAGAUGGAGGGCGCGUUCGGCGAGUGCUCCAAGGGCAAGGCCUUCUUCGGCGGCGACGGCCCGGGGUACGUGGACAUCGCGCUCGGCGGGUUCGUCGCGUGGAUACGCGCGUUCCACGCGGUGGCCAGCGUGAACCUCCUGGACGCCGCCCGGACCCCGUUGCUGGCGGCCUGGGCGGAGCGCUUUGCCGCUCUCGACGCCGCCAAGGAGGUCAUCCCGGACGUCGACCGCAUCGCCGAGUUCGCCAAGCACGAUCUGCUGCCGCUGCUCCAGAAACUGCAUCCGAAAAACUGA
rnacentral:rRNA from 1 species